GACGAACGCUGGCGGCGGGCUUAACACAUGCAAGUCGAACGGAAAGGCCCUGCUUGUGUGUGGUGCUCGAGUGGCGAACGGGUGAGUAACAUGUGAGUAACCUGCCCUGGACUUUGGGAUAACUUCAGGAAACUGGGGCUAAUACCUGAUAGGAGCUCCUGCUGCAUGGUGGGGGUUGGAAAGUUUCGGCGGUUGGGGAUGGACUCGGGGCUUAUCAGCUUGUGGGUGGGGUAGUGGCUUACCAAGGCUUUGACUGGUAGCCGGCCUGAGAGGGUGACCGGCCACAUUGGGCCUGAGAUACGGCCCAGACUCCAACGGGAGGCAGCAGUGGGGAAUAUUGCACAAUGGGCGGACGCCUGAUGCAGAAACGCCGCGUGCGGGAUGACGGCCUUCGGGUUGUAAACCGCUUUCGCCUGUGACGAAGCGUGAGUGACGGUAAUGGGUAAAGAAGCACCGGCUAACUACGUG
rnacentral:rRNA from 1 species